rnacentral:rRNA from 1 species
CCUCCCGCUCAGUAACACGUGGCCAACUACCCUACAGACCGCACUAACCUCGGGAAACUGAGGCCAAUAGCGGAUACAACUCUCAUGCUGGAGUGCCGAGAGUUGGAAACGUUCCGGCGCUGUAGGAUGUGGCUGCGGCCGAUUAGGUAGAUGGUGGGGUAACGGCCCACCAUGCCGAUAAUCGGUACAGGUUGUGAGAGCAAGAGCCUGGAGACGGUAUCUGAGACAAGAUACCGGGCCCUACGGGGCGCAGCAGGCGCGAAACCUUUACACUGCACGACAGUGCGAUAGGGGGACUCCGAGUGUGAGGGCAUAUAGCCCUCGCUUUUCUGUACCGUAAGGUGGUACAAGAAUAAGGACUGGGCAAGACCGGUGCCAGCCGCCGCGGUAAUACCGGCAGUCCAAGUGAUGGCCGAUAUUAUUGGGCCUAAAGCGUCCGUAGCUUGCUGUGUAAGUCCAUUGGGAAAUCGACCAGCUCAACUGGUCGACGUCCGGUGGAACUACACAGCUUGGGGCCGAAAGACUCAACGGGUACGUCUUGGGAAAUCGACCAGCUCAACUGGUCGACGUCCGGUGGAAACUACACAGCUUGGGGCCGAGAGACUCAACGGGUACGUCCGGGGUAGGAGUGAAAUCCUAUAAUCCUGGACGGACCACCAAUGGGGAAACCACGUUGAGAGACCGGACCCGACAGUGAGGGACGAAAGCCAGGGUCUCGAACCGGAUUAGAUACCCGGGUAGUCCUGGCCGUAAACAAUGCUCGCUAGGUAUGUCACGCGCCAUGAGCACGUGAUGUGCCGUAGUGAAGACGAUAAGCGAGCCGCCUGGGAAGUACGUCCGCAAGGAUGAAACUUAAAGGAAUUGGCGGGGGAGCACCACAACCGGAGGAGCCUGCGGUUUAAUUGGACUCAACGCCGGACAUCUCACCGGUCCCGACAGUAGUAAUGACAGUCAGGUUGACGACUUUACUCGACGCUACUGAAAGGAGGUGCAUGGGCGCCCGUCAGCUCGUACCGUGAGGCGUCCUGUUAAGUCAGGCAACGAGC